GACAGAGGGGGCAAGCGUUGCUCGGAAUUACUGGGCGUAAAGGGCGCGUAGGCGGGAUGGCAAGUCGGUCGUGAAAUCCUUCGGCUCAACCGAAGAACGUCGAUCGAUACUGCUGUUCUUGAGGGUUGCAGAGGAGACUGGAAUUCCCGGUGUAGCGGUGAAAUGUGUAGAGAUCGGGAGGAACACCGGUGGCGAAGGCGGGUUGCUGGGCUGACACUGACGCUGAGGCGCGAAAGCUAGGGGAGCGAACGGG
rnacentral:rRNA from 1 species